rnacentral:rRNA from 1 species
UAGGGAAUCUUCCGCAAUGGACGAAAGUCUGACGGAGCAACGCCGCGUGAGUGAAGAAGGAUUUCGGUUCGUAAAACUCUGUUGUUAGGGAAGAAAAAAUGUAUAGUAACUAUAUACAAAAGAGACGGUACCUAACCAGAAAGCCACGGCUAACUACGUGCCAGCAGCCGCGGUAAUACGCAGGUGGCAAGCGUUGUCCGGAAUUAUUGGGCGUAAAGCGCGCGCAGGUGGUUUAGAAAGUCUGAUGUGAAAGCCCACGGCUCAACCGUGGAGGGUCAUUGGAAACUAAUAAACUUAAGUGCAGGAGAGAAAAGUGGAAUUCCUAGUGUAGCGGUGAAAUGCGUAGAGAUUAGGAGGAACACCGGUGGCGAAAGCGGCUUUUUGGCCUGCAACUGACACUGAGGCGCGAAAGCGUGGGGAGCAAACAGG